GGUUUGGUGGUGUAGUGGUUAUCACAUCUGCUUAACACGCAGAAGGUCCCGGGUUCAAAACCCGGUCGAACCU